rnacentral:misc_RNA from 1 species
GUAUUUAAGUGCAUAGCACGUCAACAUCCUAUUACAUUCAGCGUGUGUAAAAUACCCCGAGGUCCCACGACCUAAGCCUGCUCACCGUGAAGUGAACGGGUCCUCGGAGUCAAAUGGUGCACAGGUGUGUGGAUUUGCAACCGACGUGCACAUGUGCCAUUCAGCACCAGCACAAUCGAUCGACUUGUUUUUCAUUAAUGAUCCUUCCGCAGGUUCACCUACGGAAA